rnacentral:rRNA from 1 species
UGGGGAAUUUUGGACAAUGGGCGAAAGUCUGAUCCAGCCAUGCCGCGUGAGUGAAGAAGGCCUUCGGGUUGUAAAGCUCUUUUAGUCGGAAAGAAAGAGUUGCAAUGAAUAAUUGUGAUUUAUGACGGUACCGACAGAAAAGGCACCGGCUAACUACGUGCCAGCAGCCGCGGUAAUACGUAGGGUGCGAGCGUUAAUCGGAAUUACUGGGCGUAAAGGGUGCGCAGGCGGUCUUGCAAGUCAGAUGUGAAAGCCCCGGGCUUAACCUGGGAAUUGCGUUUGAAACUACAAGGCUAGAGUGCAGCAGAGGGGAGUGGAAUUCCAUGUGUAGCAGUGAAAUGCGUAGAGAUGUGGAAGAACACCGAUGGCGAAGGCAGCUCCCUGGGUUGACACUGACGCUCAUGCACGAAAGCGUGGGGAGCAAACA